UGUUUCCCCCCUUCAACAUCCGCUCAAAUUUUCGUUUCCCCCUCUUUGUAUCUUUCUUCUUCUUCAUCUCUAGUUAGCAGGUCCAAGGCUUUUCCCCCUUUAUGCUUCUCGCUCUUCGGUUUCUCUUUUCUCUUCCCUUCUCUCUCUGGCCAUCUAGCUCUAUUCUCUUCUCAUAAUCUCUCUCUCUCUCUCUCUCUAUGUCUCUUCUCUAUCCAGCUCUCUCUUCUCUUCUCAAUUUAUAUUUGUAUGCCUCCCAAAUCAAAAGAAAAGCCCAAAUCGGCCGUCGCUGCUGCCGCCGAGUGCGAACAAAUCGUCAAGCUCUCAGAUCAAGGUCGUUUUUCAUAUUAAUUAUAUCUGUGUUUUUUCUUUAUUAUAUGUGAUUUUGAGAUUUUUCCUGGUGUCUGGAUAGUGUUAUCUGUAGCUCCUGGUGAUGAAGAUGCGUUAUGAUGCAAAGUUGUGGUGUUAAUUAAGUGCGAUAAGAUCGAUGAAGCCCUCGGUUAUUCCCAAGCUUCCCGAUGAUUUUAACUAUUUCAAGAGAUGAAUUUGACUCUGGUCCUGUUUGAGCGGCAAGUUCAUAGGGGACUAGGAAGGUCUCAGCCGUGUAACUCAGAUUGCGAGAGAGAAAUAUGGGAAAUCUAUGGCUGAUUCUUACGUGUCUGUCCUUAAACAGCUCCAAGACUCUAACGCUAGGAGUUAUUAUUUUUCUGGAAACAAUGAUGGAGGUCAAACUCCAAUAAGUUGCUCAUCUUGCGAGGCGCUUUUUGUUGGCUUCUAUGUACUAUGUACAUGCUCUUGUCAGUUGUGUGAAACAUUACAAGAUUUAAAUUUUUGUAUGUGGUUGUAUGUUGUUACUAUAGUUGGUAAUGAAAACUUUUGUUACUAAUU